rnacentral:pre_miRNA from 1 species
AAAGUACUCCCUCCUUCCCAAAAUUCUUGUCUUAGAUUUGUCUAGAUACGGAUGUAUCAAGUCACAUUUUAGUAUUAGAUACAUCCAUAUCUAGACA